GGCCUGAUGGUUUAGUGGUUUGCAUGUUUACCUCGUACCUCCGGGGUUGCGGGUUCGAUUCCCGCAUGUUCCC